rnacentral:rRNA from 1 species
GAUGAACGCUGGCGGCGUGCCUAAUACAUGCAAGUCGAGCGAACGGACGAGAAGCUUGCUUCUCUGAUGUUAGCGGCGGACGGGUGAGUAACACGUGGAUAACCUACCUAUAAGACUGGGAUAACUUCGGGAAACCGUAGCUAAUACCGGAUAAUAUUUUGAACCGCAUGGUUCAAAAGUGAAAGACGGUCUUGCUGUCACUUAUAGAUGGAUCCGCGCUGCAUUAGCUAGUUGGUAAGGUAACGGCUUACCAAGGCAACGAUGCAUAGCCGACCUGAGAGGAUGAUCAGCCACACUGGAACUGAGACACGGUCCAGACUCCUACGGGAGGCAGCAGUAGGGAAUCUUCCGCAACGGGCGAAAGCCUGACGGAGCAACGCCGCGUGAGUGAUGAAGGUCUUCGGAUCGUAAAACUCUGUUAUUAGGGAAGAACAUAUGUGUAAGUAACUGUGCACAUCUUGACGGUACCUAAUCAGAAAGCCACGGCUAACUACGUG